rnacentral:lncRNA from 1 species
GGAUGCUGACUGCACCAGCCAGGUACACCAAGUGGUGAUUUUAAAAACUAAGUGCCGGUCCUGCCGGAGAACAACACCUGAAAGUAGGGCUGGGAGAUUUAAGGAAAAGAGAGAGAGAGAGAGAGACAGGGGGCUCAGGAGGACUACCCCAUCUCAAGCGAGUAGCAACUUCAUUUCUUCAGUUGCCUUGCCCCAUGGCGAUGUGGAGGGAGGAAUCUGGCAGUAGAUCAAUGGGACCAGACCUAGAACCCACUGCACGUGACAAACAGAUAAGGAACCUCUAGGAUCCAUGAAAGAACAUAUCUGAGCUAGCAUCCUAGAAGAUGAGACAUGUCCAGGAGAGUCAUGGCACAGAUGUCCCAGUUGAAGCCCCAUACAUAGGAGACAGUCUAGCCAAGAUCAGUAAAUCCACCUAGCAGACCGACAACUGACCACAGAUACAUGAGAGAGCCCUUCCAAGCCCAGCACAAAUCUGCAGAACCAUCCAGCUGACCAUUUGGCUUGCG